CACGUAGUUAGCCGGUGCUUUUUCUGCAGGUACCGUCACUUUCGCUUCUUCCCUGCUAAAAGAGGUUUACAACCCGAAGGCCGUCAUCCCUCACGCGGCGUUGCUGCAUCAGGCUUCCGCCCAUUGUGCAAUAUUCCCCAUUGCUGCCUCCCGUAGGAGUCUGGGCCGUGUCUCAGUCCCAGUGUGGCCGGUCACCCUCUCAGGCCGGCUACCCGUCGACGCCUUGGUGAGCCGUUACCUCACCAACUAGCUGAUAGGCCGCGAGCUCAUCCCUGACCGAAAUUCUUUCCAACUGCUGAAGAUGCCUUCGCAGCUCAUAUCCGGUAUUAGACGCCGUUUCCAGCGCUUAUCCCAGAGUCAGGGGCAGAUUGCUCACGUGUUACUCACCCGUUCUCCACUGAUCCAGAGAGCAAGCUCUCCUUCACCGUUCGACUUGCAUGUGUUAAGCACGCCGCCAGCGUUCAUCCUGAGCCAGGAUCAAACU
rnacentral:rRNA from 1 species